UUUAAGCACAACCAUAAGUUUCCGUGUCAACUUUGAUCAUCCGUUUUCUUUGAAUUUUUUUAUGAUUAGUAUUUUUAUAAAUAGUAUUUUAUGCGUGACUUAUGUUUUUAAUUUUUUUAGAUAAGACAGAUGAUUAAAGUUGGACACGGAGACUCAUUGCUGCUCUUAAA
rfam:Oryza glumipatula chromosome 2, whole genome shotgun sequence.